GGGGGUGUAGCUCAGCUGGGAGAGCAACUGCCUUGCACGCAGUAGGUCAUCGGUUCAAUCCCGUUCACCUCCACCA
rnacentral:tRNA from 1 species